UACGGAGGGUGCAAGCGUUAUCCGGAUUCACUGGGUUUAAAGGGUCCGUAGGUGGUCGAGCAAGUCUGAUGUGAAAUCCCAUGGCUCAACCGUGGAACUGCAUUGGAAACUGCGCGACUUGAGUACCGCAGAGGUGAAGGGAAUUCCCGGUGUAAGGGUGAAAUCUGUAGAUAUCGGGAGGAACACCAGUGGCGAAGGCGCUUCACUGGGCGGUUACUGACACUGAGGGACGAAAGCAAGGGUAGCAAACAGG
rnacentral:rRNA from 1 species